GCCUGUGUAUGGACAGGAGGAGAACUUGGGCUGUAGCUGGGAGUAUUCUAGUUUCCUGAGCUGCUAGUAAAGGAAGGAAAGACUUGAACUUGGGCAGUUUAUUUUUGUCUGUUUAUUUUCCAUUAAUAAUAUUUAAAUCCCUUAUCUAGAAUCAGCCACAAUGAACAAAAAGUUUCAAAAAAUAAUCUGAAAAGGAGCGUAUCACCCCUCAAAAAACCAGCAGCAUAAGUAGCAAUACCUAUUAUAUCAAAGAAUCCAUCCACAGAGAACUGCUGUCUGAAGCAUGAAUUAAUAGAAAUCAGCUUUCUUUGUCUUAUUUUCUUAUGUAUUGAAUUGCUUUUAUGUGAAAAGUGGAACUUUCCUAUGUUUUGAACCAUAACCAUUAAAUCAGAAGACACAGACCUGGAAAAUCAGUAAAGUAACAUUUUAACAUUCAUUUGUUCUUUAGGAUGUUGUUAUUGUUUUUGUAUCAUCCAUUUCCAGGGCAAGUCUUCCAGAUUCAGGAGGGAGUAUUUUGUCACAUGUUUGUAAAGCAGCCAGGUCCACACAGUCUCUGGGCAGAUUCUGGCACUUUACUCGUAAGGAGCAAUUGAAAAACCCCUGUUGUCAUUCUGCAUCUUUCCAGUCUUAGUGCACCUUUGCCAGAAAAAGAAAAUGCUGAAAAUCUUGAAUACCUGAUGGUACUUUCUGUAAGUCUCUCCACUGUUUGGCUCACGGUGACACAGAACACAGCACAUUGUAACUACAAGAGCAGACUCGACUGUGAAAGAUCUCUAUCAGGCAUCACAGAGAAUUUGAGGGAGCUGGCAGUUAUCAGCUGAAGCAGUUAAAAUCUGGGACUUGGAAGAGGAAAAAAUACUGCCAAACCACCAGUCACCCAGAAAAAUAUGAAAAGAGACUAUGAUAACUCAUCAAGGAUCCAGUAGGGCCUGUGGAAGCAAAACCAGAAUAAAUGUUACAGAAAAAUGCAUCAUUCAUCUCUGGAGCAGCUACACUCAUGCAAUGACAUUGUACAAGAGAUGAUUACUGAUGAGGUGAUAAAAGGCAGUAGGGAGCCAUGAAUAAAUCUAUCCAAGGAAAGUCACAAACACAUGAUUCAUCAAAAAGGAGUAUCUUUAGAAACAUUUCACUGUUUCAAACUGUUAUGCAAGGUUUCCUUUAUGAAAAAAUUUCUAAGCAUGAAAUCAAAUAAGUUCGUUGUUCCUGUCUCUUAACAAAAUAAUGCUCUAAUUUUUACCUUGAAGAUAAUCCAUAGUGGGGAAAAAAAAAAAAAAAAAAAAAAAAAACACCCCAAAACUAAACUAUUUAAAAAAAAAUACGACUAUGAAUUUUCUGAAGUUUUCAAACUUUAUAACAUUAUGAAAAUGAAAUGUCAGAUUGCCACACAAUUUGCAUCAUAAGAUACAAGGUAGGUGUUUUCAUGCUGCAGGAUAAUUACAAAUAAAUCAUCAGUUUUUACCUACAGGGACAAGUACUGAAACUGCACAACAAUAAUUAACAAAGUAAUAAAUUGUAAAGAUAAAUAGUUGAGAAUGACUCUAGCUGAUAAAACUUUAGGCUGUAAGAAGGAGAGAAAAACAGGAAAAUCAAAGGAAAAAACAAAAAGCACAGAUGUUUAAACAUUAAUUGGACUUCAAACAAAACCUUCAGAGUUCCAGAUCUUACCCAAUAACUCUCUAAAUAAAUAAAUAAAUUUUGUCUCAACAGAGUUUUAGAAGUGCAUGGUGGAUAACAGUGUGAAUCUGAAAAAGUAAUAACAUCCACUAAUAUCAGAUGUUUUAAUAUGUAACACAGAGACUGCAUGUGAAUACAAUAUUUCUGCAUCUGUAGUUAGGGAGCUGAAUGUAGAGUUAGAUUGGUGUUAUGGGCAUUUAACUGCGAUUGGAAUAGUGGCGCUGCACAGAAAAACUAUUACCAACUUCUGGUGACUGGGGGUACUCAGGAUUUCUGGAUUGUGACGUAAUUUCAUAUCUGGAUAGUACUGCACACCACAGUAUGAAGACCUCUGUCUCAGAUGGACUCAUGAAGUUUGCAUCCUCAACAACUUAUAUCUUUGAAAUAAAGUUUUCAUU